UGUGUAUGUACUGAGCUAUCAACAGCUCUCCCACCAUUGGCUUUGGGAGGCUCACUAAUACGAAGAGGCACUAUAUUCUCUCCCAAAAUUUCUCUAACAGGCCGAACAACAGGUGGGCUGGAUGACUCCAUAUCUUUUACACGCUCAGGUGACCUGCCUUCUAGUUUUGAUUCUCCAUCUCCAUGAUCUUCAAAUUUCCUCCCAUUUCCAAAUCUAUCAUCACGACGCCAAUCAUUUAUUAUCUCAGGACGAGCAGGGCUUCUCCGGUAAUCACCAUAUUGUCGACUAUCUGGUUCGUAUACUGGACUUCUUCCUCCAGAACUAGACCUGUCACUGUAACGACGCUCAUAUGUCUCUUCAUACGGAGGGCUUCUAGAUCCACCCUGAUUCCUG
rnacentral:lncRNA from 1 species